GAUGAACGCUGGCGGCGUGCCUAAUACAUGCAAGUCGAACGGGGAGAAGCAAGACUCUUCGUGGCGAACGGGGGAGUAACGCGGUGGAACCUGCCCCGAAGCGGCGGAUAACGGACCGAAAGGUACGCUAAUACCCCAUGUGCUCGGUAACGAGUAAAGGUGAAAACCACUUUGGGAGGGGCCUGCGUCCCAUCAGCUAGUUGGUAAGGUAACGGCUUACCAAGGCGAUGACGGGUAGGGGACCUGAGAGGGUGGCCCCCCACAACGGAACUGAAACACGGUCCAGACACAUGCGGGAGGUUGCAGGAGGGAAUCUUGGGAAUGGGCGCAAGACCGAACCAGCUACCGCGCGUGUGAGGUGACUGCCGUCGGGUUUUAACGCACUUUUGAUCGGGACGAGGAACGACGGUACCGGUCGAAUCAGCCUCGGCUAACUACGUG
rnacentral:rRNA from 1 species